UUCUUGGACAUACUUCUGAUGUGGGAGAAACACACCCAGGUUUAUAGCAGGAUCUCGACCCAAGAAUGGGAGACUCAGAUUCCACUCCAUGCGGAGAUUCUUGGAAGUAAUUAGCCCCUGUGAAGGCGCACCCACAAAAUUGCCUAAUGACUUUGCCACACCAAUGGAGUGACUAAUCCAAAGACAGCAGCAGUUUUCAGAAGAGUCUCAAAGAAACACAGAACAAAAGAAAGUAGGAGGGUCUUUGGUAAGCCAAUGGCUCUAUCCAUACUUUACAUGAUAUAGUCCAUAAAGCCCUGAACUUGCAGUCAAGAACAGGGUUCAAAUCCUGCCCCAUACACUUACCCACUGUGUGACCUUGAGCAAUUCACUUAACUUUUCUGUGCUUUGUCUUCCUCAUCUGUAAAAGAAGAGGCUUGGCUUCGCCAGAUUUAAGGAAUGAUCUCUCCAUCCUCCCCAGUCGUUACUCUCCCCCAAUAUUGCUUGGACCAGUUAUAUCCUCCCAAUAGAAUAUAAGCUCCUUGAGGGAAGGGACUCUUUAUUUCACUUUUGUAUUUGUCUCCUUAGCCACUGGAGCAAUGCCUAGCACAUAGUAGGGGCUUAAUUAGUUCUUGUUGAAUGGAACGAAACUGAACUGAUACACAACCUCCCUUUCCAUCCUUAGCUUGGAACUUCUGCCAGCCCUGUUCCUCCCUAGCUGGGUAACCUUUGUCAAGCCCUGUUAGCAGGUUUGCUCACCUGUAAGGAGGAGACACGGAACAAACAAUAAGCUAGCUCCUUUAUAAGCUGCUGCGAAGGUCA
rnacentral:lncRNA from 1 species